rnacentral:rRNA from 1 species
AUUGAACGCUGGCGGCAGGCUUAACACAUGCAAGUCGAGCGGGGGAAGGUAGCUUGCUACCGGACCUAGCGGCGGACGGGUGAGUAAUGCUUAGGAAUCUGCCUAUUAGUGGGGGACAACAUCUCGAAAGGGCUGCUAAUACCGCAUACGUCCUACGGGAGAAAGCAGGGGAUCUUCGGACCUUGCGCUAAUAGAUGAGUCUAAGUCGGAUUAGCUAGUUGGUGGGGUAAAGGCCUACCAAGGCGACGAUCUGUAGCGGGUCUGAGAGGAUGAUCCGCCACACUGGGACUGAGACACGGCCCAGACUCCUACGGGAGGCAGCAGUGGGGAAUAUUGGACAAUGGGGGGAACCCUGAUCCAGCCAUGCCGCGUGUGUGAAGAAGGCCUUAUGGUUGUAAAGCACUUUAAGCGAGGAGGAGGCUACUUUAGUUAAUACCUAGAGAUAGUGGACGUUACUCGCAGAAUAAGCACCGGCUAACUCUGUGCCAGCAGCCGCAGUAA